AUGCUCAGCUGGCUCAGAACUUCCUUCCCUCCCCCUAAGGCACCGAGUUCUGGCACGCACACGCACCCCCCCCCCAUCUCCUUGGCCUUCCUGCUCCUCAGCCUCCUCCUGACGCCCAGCCUCUACUCCUCGGGGAGGUCCUGCUCAUCCUUCGGGAGCAGCCAGGAGUCCCCUGCUUAUAAGGUCCCGUUAAGGAACGUGCGCCCCGUGCCCUCCACCCGGCAGAUUAGGGCACCUUGCCCGUGUUCCUCUGGGUCAUUGCGUGCCUCCUGCCCCCCACCAUUCAGCCCGAUUCCAUUAUCAAUGGAACAUGGUGGCUCUGGAGCCAGUAGCUGGGAUCUGAACUCAAGCUGUCUGGCUCCAGAGCCACCAUGUUCCAUUGAUAAUGGAAUCGGGCUGAAUGGUGGGGGGCAGGAGGCACGCAAUGACCCAGAGGAACACGGGCAAGGUGCCCUAAUCUGCCGGGUGGAGGGCACGGGGCGCACGUUCCUUAACGGGACCUUAUAAGCAGGGGACUCCUGGCUGCUCCCGAAGGAUGAGCAGGACCUCUCCGAGGAGUAGAGGCUGGGCGUCAGGAGGAGGCUGAGGAGCAUGAAGCCCAAGGAGAUGGGGGAGGGGGGGGCGUGUGCGUGCCAGAACUCAGUGCCUUGGAGGGAGGGAAGGAAGUUCUGAGCCAGCUGAGCAUCAGCGUCUCCAGCUUCACCUCAGGGGCCAAAGGCACGGAUGGCCUAAAAGCCACGGGUUCAGAAGACACGCCGACUUGAGGAGAAGCCCAAAAGGAAAGCCAGUCGUGUUGCUCCUCUGGACGUUGCAGGCUUUGCUAAGCAAGGCACAGCGCCCAGACCCCGGGAUGGAAAAGCCCGGCACAUCUGACUACUUCAAAACGGAAACCUUCCUUGUGACGAAGACGGGAGCAACACGAGAGACUAGUGUGGCAGGAAGUUCUUGGGAACGUCUGAGCACCAGAAGCCCUAUGUCAUCUCGGGAGGGACUGUGCUGACGAUUGCGUUUCCCGGGCUCCUCACCGCUCCUGGAGCCUCUCCAAUCAAAGGGGGUGCGUUUUGCUGUGGGUUAGGCCUGCUCUGGGCACCGUGCACACACCACCUCAUGCUGUACUGUCUCCAUUUUUGCUCCACUGCGGAAACGCAAUCACUAAAGACCUUCGAUGACUCCCCCAAGGUCACACAGCUAGUAAGGGGUAGCCAGGGUUCAAAGCCAGGCGGUCUGGCCUCCUCUACCGUUCUCUUAGCCACAGCCUCUGUUGCCCCUGGGCCUCCCCAAGGCAAGGAGCCACGCUCACCUAGGCCUCGGAGUCCCGUCCAGUGUCUGGGCUUUCUGUUUGCGUGUCUGGGUAUCUCUUCCAUGGCCCCUGAGCGGCCUGGUGGAUAAGACUUAGGGACCUGGCUGGGAGAAGAGGCAUGAGUCAUGAGGGAAGCAGGCUUUGGGGCCGAGAAUUCCUGGGUCCUUUGGCCCGGCCUCAGCAGCUGGCCUCAGGGGCCUGCCAAGG
rnacentral:lncRNA from 1 species